GCUUGGAAAAAACCUAACAACACUGAAAUCACCUGAUUCUGUUUGAUCCCAAAAACUAAGAAGGCUCAGCUUUGGUUAGUACUUGGAAGGGAGGCCAUCAGGGAAUACCAGGCACUUUAAGCU
rnacentral:rRNA from 11 species